AUUCAUCUUGGCUCAGUUCGAGCCCGUCUUCCCAAAACCUAAUGAUCCUCGGAUGUGACUGACUGUUGAUCGUAUCUGACUGUUGAACUUCAUCGUCAUCGUUUCAGUUCUGCGCAAUUUCACCUCCUCUGCUCAUCAUGUAUAACGCAAAACAAGGCUGCAAGUGCUGGGUGAAAUUGUACCAGGAAGUGAAGGAGCUGAGGGAAAUCACUGAUGAUGAUCGGUAGCUAUACUGGUUUAGGAAGAAGCUGUCAAAACAGAACAAGCACGCCAAGGAGCUUGAGGAAUCUCUGGGACUUUUGAGCGAGAAGCUGUGUAAAACUGCACAAGGUUACCGUUGUUGUGUGACAGAGAGGGAAGAUGCAGCAUGCGCAGAACAAAUAAGAGGGCUUAGGAGUUCUCUAGCUUCAUAGAGUUUCAAGAGAAAGAGAUGAAAACGUUUAUGGAGAAGAGGGAGAGGGAGAGGUAGAAGAAGAUAUAAUUCGAGGAGAUGCUUGAGCUAGAGAGGGAAUUUGAUGUCAUUGGAGUUGGAGCUGUUCAUGAACAAGAACGACCUUCACGAUGAUGUCAUUGGAGCUGUUCAUGAACAAGAACGACCUUCACGAUGCAGAUGACGCACACUUGCUUUCAUGUUGUGCUUUUGGUAUCGAAUCUAAGGAGAUUUGAGGAAGACUAUCAUUCUCAAUUUUAGUAGCAAAUUCGGUAUAGAAAGCUGGUUAACCAAAGGAAGAAGAUGACCCGCAACUGCCAUUGCUGAAACCUCUGCUAAAAGAACAGUUAUUUGUUCACUGCAAGUACGUCUCAGUAGAUUGAAAGAAGUCUCAGAAUUUUUCGUUACAAUAAAGUUGGCUUGCGUCUUUACGGAUUAUGUUGUUGGGUCUGGAUCAGGCUUUCAGCGUCACACUGACCCAUCUUUGUUGAAAACGCUUACUGCAUCAGGAGUAUUAGCAACAUCUAAACUCAGCAAAGAUAAGAGACCACGUAAAAAAGCUACUCAUGUAAUACAUUAUUAUUAUUCUCAAAUUUACUUUACCUCACAUUGCCAUUGUCUGUCCACAACAAGCAUCUGAAAUGCACAUUUUAGGGAUAUUUUGUGUUACAUAUGACCAAGUAUUUUAUCAACAGAAGAAAGUAUCACACGAGUAAUGGAGAGGCUUGGGGAUUCACAAACAUCCCAUGCUAAGUUAGCACUCAUGAUGUAUAUAUAGUUAAUUCUGUCUCAGACAUAGUAUUUCUGCAGUUCAUAUGAUCAACAUUUUGAUUUGGUGAUAUAAUUUAAUUUUGGAUGGUACAGGUUGCAUCAGCCGAUAUAAAAUUCUUGAGGGCAAGUUCUAUGUAAUGGAUAUUUGGAAAGAGACUAGAAAGUUUAUUAAGGGACUCACAAUUUUCAACGAAAUUCACAAAAUUGAUGUAAAAAAGAACUAAUAUCAAAUGAAAAUAUAUUAUUUAUAGGCUAUA